rnacentral:rRNA from 1 species
GACGAACGCUGGCGGCGUGCUUAACACAUGCAAGUCGAACGGAAAGGCCCUGCUUGCAGGGUACUUGAGUGGCGAACGGGUGAGUAACACGUGGGUGAUCUGCCCUGCACUUCGGGAUAAGCCUGGGAAACUGGGUCUAAUACCGGAUAGGAGCCAUUUUUAGUGUGAUGGUUGGAAAGUUUUUUCGGUGUAGGAUGAGCUCGCGGCCUAUCAGCUUGUUGGUGGGGUAAUGGCCUACCAAGGCGGCGACGGGUAGCCGGCCUGAGAGGGUGGACGGCCACAUUGGGACUGAGAUACGGCCCAGACUCCUACGGGAGGCAGCAGUGGGGAAUAUUGCACAAUGGGCGCAAGCCUGAUGCAGCGACGCCGCGUGGGGGAUGACGGCCUUCGGGUUGUAAACUCCUUUCGCUAGGGACGAAGCUUUUUGUGACGGUACCUAGAGAAGAAGCACCGGCUAACUACGUG